UACGUAGGGUGCAAGCGUUAAUCGGAUUUACUGGGCUUAAAGGGCGCGUAGGCGGCUCGCCAGUCAGGGGUGAAAGCCCACGGCUUAACCGUGGAAGUGCCUCUGAUACUGCGGGUCUCGAGGGAGGUAGGGGCGUGCGGAACUUCCGGUGGAGCGGUGAAAUGCGUAGAUAUCGAGAGGAACACCUGCGGCGAAGGCGGGUUGCUGGGCUGACACUGACGCUGAUGCGCGAAAGCCAGGGGAGCGAACGGG
rnacentral:rRNA from 1 species